rnacentral:rRNA from 1 species
GACGAACGCUGGCGGCGUGCUUAACACAUGCAAGUCGAACGGAAAGGCCCUGCGUUUGUGGGGUGCUCGAGUGGCGAACGGGUGAGUAACACGUGAGUAACCUGCCCUUGUCUUUGGGAUAACUUCAGGAAACUGGGGCUAAUACCGGAUAGGAGCUCCUGCUGCAUGGUGGGGGUUGGAAAGUUUCGGCGGUUGGGGAUGGACUCGCGGCUUAUCAGCUUGUUGGUGGGGUAGUGGCUUACCAAGGCUUUGACGGGUAGCCGGCCUGAGAGGGGGACCGGCGACAUUGGGACUGAGAUACGGCCCAGACGGCUACGUGAGGCAGCAGUGGGGAAUAUGGCACAAUGGGCGGACGCCUGAUGCAGCAACGUCGCGUGCGGGAUGACGGCCUUCGGGUUGUAAACCGCUUUCGCCUGUGACGAAGCGUGAGUGACGGUAAUGGGUAAAGAAGCACCGGCUAACUACGUG